rnacentral:rRNA from 1 species
UGAACGCUGGCGGCGUGCCUAAUACAUGCAAGUCGAGCGAACAGACGAGGAGCUUGCUCCUCUGACGUUAGCGGCGGACGGGUGAGUAACACGUGGAUAACCUACCUAUAAGACUGGGAUAACUUCGGGAAACCGGAGCUAAUACCGGAUAAUAUAUUGAACCGCAUGGUUCAAUAGUUAAAGACGGUUUUGCUGUCACUUAUAGAUGGAUCCGCGCCGCAUUAGCUAGUUGGUAAGGUAACGGCUUACCAAGGCGACGAUGCGUAGCCGACCUGAGAGGGUGAUCGGCCACACUGGAACUGAGACACGGUCCAGACUCCUACGGGAGGCAGCAGUAGGGAAUCUUCCGCAAUGGGCGAAAGCCUGACGGAGCAACGCCGCGUGAGUGAUGAAGGUCUUCGGAUCGUAAAACUCUGUUAUUAGGGAAGAACAAAUGUGUAAGUAACUAUGCACGUCUUGACGGUACCUAAUCAGAAAGCCACGGCUAACUACGUG